UCGAACCCACUUGAUCGCCUAAUUGAGGUUUCAUCUGGCCGCAUCCGCUGAUUAAAUCCCGUCCUCCUCUCUCCUCCCACCUGCAGAUUGGGAGUCAGACCAGUCCAACGGAACCGAUGUUGUCUCAACCGCGAUGUUUUUGCCAGUACUCUCUGCAGCUUACAGGCACAACCAAACUGUCAUCAUCUUGAAUGAGUCUUCGGAUAAGCGCUACCCAAUGCUGCAGACAGCCAUUCACAUCUGUUCUCAUGGCUUCUUUCUCUUCUUGUUCUUAGCACAAAGGCGACUGAGACUCGAGUCCUGGACUAAGUGAGGACCAAAAUCAGGUGACACACCUGGCCGAAUGCAGACCUCAUACUUCAAUAGGAUAUUUUGUUACAUAAAAAUGUUCUCUUUGUUUUA